rnacentral:rRNA from 1 species
CCUACGGGUGGCAGCAGUCGAGAAUCAUUCACAAUGGGGGAAACCCUGAUGGUGCGACGCCGCGUGGGGGAAUGAAGGUCUUCGGAUUGUAAACCCCUGUCAUGUGGGAGCAAAUUAAAAAGAUAGUACCACAAGAGGAAGAGACGGCUAACUCUGUGCCAGCAGCCGCGGUAAUACAGAGGUCUCAAGCGUUGUUCGGAAUCACUGGGCGUAAGGCGUGCGUAGGCUGUUUCGUAAGUCGUGUGUGAAAGGCGCGGGCUCAACCCGCGGACGGCACAUGAUACUGCGAGACUAGAGUAAUGGAGGGGGAACCGGAAUUCUCGGUGUAGCAGUGAAAUGCGUAGAUAUCGAGAGGAACACUCGUGGCGAAGGCGGGUUCCUGGACAUUAACUGACGCUGAGGCACGAGGGCCAGGGGAGCGAAAGGGAUUAGAUACCCCAGUAGUC